rnacentral:rRNA from 1 species
UACGGAGGGGGCAAGCGUUGUUCGGAGUUACUGGGCGUAAAGGGCGCGUAGGCGGUGCAGCAAGUCAGGCGUGAAAGCCCCGGGCUUAACCUGGGAAUUGCGCUUGAUACUGCUGCGCUAGAGAUCGGGAGAGGAUGGCGGAAUUCCCAGUGUAGAGGUGAAAUUCGUAGAUAUUGGGAAGAACACCGGUGGCGAAGGCGGCCAUCUGGACCGUAUCUGACGCUGAGGCGCGAAAGCGUGGGGAGCAAAC